CCUAGCAUAUGUUGUAGGCAGGACAGAUUGUAGGGAAGAGGUUUUGCAGCUAGGUUGGUGUUUACAUGUCUCUUUUGAUAGCCUUCUUUCACCAAAGACACUAGGAUGUAGGAGGUGAAGAUUUCAUGUAGGCAACAAUUUGUCUUCUCCAUUAAUGGUGUGGGUAUUGUUCUCAGUGACAGGCCCAGCUGUCAGUUUUCAGAGAGCAACCUGAACAGGGCCUGGAGUCUCUUCUGGGUCUCCAGGGCUUCAAGUCCUAGCUCGACCUUACCAGGAUUCCUCUCAUGGUCCACUGACCCACACCUCUCCCUAUCUGAUCAUCUUAUUUUGUUCCCAGCCCUGCCCCAUGACCCCAGACCACUCAUAAAUCUAUUUUAUUUUCUCCUCCUAGGGAGAUCCAUGUGCUUUUCCUACUACUUUCCUCUACCUCCACAUUCCAACUCUAUAAAUUUUGGCUUGGCUUUCACUUAUUUAUGGCCAAUAUCCACAUGAAUUCUUUGCCCAAUUCAGCAUGAAGAAAUUACAAGGACACUGACAUCGUUAUCCUGAUCCCUUAAGACACCCACGGACUUCAAGAACCGGGCCACCCCAGUCUGCUACAGAAUGCAGCCGAGCUUCCCACCCUGCUUGUCCAGUGCUGUGACG